rnacentral:rRNA from 1 species
UACGGGGGGGGCAAGCGUUGUUCGGAAUUACUGGGCGUAAAGGGCCAGUAGGCGGCCAACUAAGUCCGACGUGAAAUCCCCAGGCUUAACCUGGGAACUGCGUCGGAUACUGGAUGGCUUGAAUCCGGGAGAGGGAUGCAGAAUUCCAGGUGUAGCGGUGAAAUUCGUAGAUAUCGGGAGGAACACCAGUGGCGAAGGCGGCCUCUGGACGGACACUGACGGCUGAGACGCGAAAGCGUGGGUAGCAAACAGG